GCUGCAGCUCAUUGGCACCAAUCAAGCAGCAGAUAUCUACCCGGGCUGGACACCUCUCCAGCGCCAGUUCGUUCCUACACUUCCAGUGAUCUCUUCUGUUCCUGCUGCCUGCCUGCCUGCCUGCCAUUCCCACGCCGCUACCUGAUCCUCUGUUGCCUGACAUCCUCGUUAUCCAGCUCUCAGGACUACUGGCUCUCCACCCCACUCAGCUCCUACCCCAGCCUGAAGCUACUUCACCCUGACUACUUCUCUCUGCCAAUACACGUUGAAUAAACUACAUCCUAAUUUUA